CCUACGGGGUGCAGCAGUGAGGAAUAUUGGUCAAUGGCCGGAAGGCUGAACCAGCCAUGCCGCGUGAAGGUCAGUGCCCUAUGGGCGUUAAACUUCUUUUGUGCGGGAGCAAUAAUGGUCACGUGUGGCCAGACGAGAGUACCGUACGAAUAAGCAUCGGCUAACUCCGUGCCAGCAGCCGCGGUAAUACGGGGGAUGCAAGCGUUAUCCGGAUUUAUUGGGUUUAAAGGGUGCGUAGGCUGGGAGGUAAGUCAGCGGUGAAAUGCCCCCGCUCAACGGGGUGGAGUGCCAUUGAUACUGCCUUGCGGGAAUGCGGAUGCCGUGGGAGGAAUGUGUGGGGUAGCGGUGAAAUGCAUAGAGAGCACACAGAACACCGAUUGCGAGGGCAGCUCACGAAUCCGCGAUUGACGCUGAUGCACGAAAGCGUGGGUAUCAAACAGGAUUAGAUACCCAUGUAGUC
rnacentral:rRNA from 1 species